CCCAGACUCCUACGGGAGGCAGCAGUGGGGAAUAUUGCACAAUGGGGGAAACCCUGAUGCAGCAACGCCGCGUGAGUGAGGAAGUAUUUCGGUAUGUAAAGCUCUAUCAGCAGGGAAUAGAAAAGAAGGUACCUGAAAAAGAAGCCCCGGCUAACUACGUGCCAGCAGCCGCGGUAAUACGUAGGGGGCGAGCGUUAUCCGGAUUUACUGGGUGUAAAGGGAGCGUAGACGGCGUCGCAAGUCUGAAGUGAAAGCCCGUGGCUCAACCGCGGAACCGCUUUGGAAACUGCGAGGCUGGAGUGCUGGAGAGGUAAGCGGAAUUCCUGGUGUAGCGGUGAAAUGCGUAGAUAUCAGGAGGAACACCGGUGGCGAAGGCGGCUUACUGGACAGUGACUGACGUUGAGGCUCGAAAGCGUGGGGAGCGAACAGGAUUAGAUACCCUCGUAC
rnacentral:rRNA from 1 species